rnacentral:RNase_P_RNA from 1 species
CCAGUCGGCCGGAUGGCCGCCGCAUUGCGGAGGAAAGUCCGGGCUCCAUAGAGACACGGUGCCGGAUAACGUCCGGCGGGGGCGACCCCAGGGAUAGCGCCACAGAAACGAGACCGCCCGCCGGUUCGCCGGCAGGCAAGGGUGAAACGGUGCGGUAAGAGCGCACCGCGCGGCUGGUAACAGGCGCGGCAUGGCAAGCCCCACCGGGAGCAAAACCGAAUAGGGGCGCAGGCGGUCUCGCAGGAGACCGCAGGGCCGUCUCUGGCCCGCGCCCGGGUAGGUUGCUUGAGACGGCCGGCAACGGCCGUCCCAGAGGAAUGGCCAUCACGCGCGCUUCGCGCGCCAUACCAAACCCGGCUUAUAGGCCGACUGGCAGU